UGUAACGCUGGCCGGCAGGACCUAACACAUGCCAAUUCGAGGCGGUGGCACAACGUAGCUUGCGUCUUGGGUGACGAGCGGCGGACGGGUGAGUAAUGUCUGGGAAACUGCCCGAUGGAGGGGGAUAACUACUGGAAACGGUAGCUAAUACCGCAUAACGUCUUCGGACCAAAGUGGGGGACCUUCGGGCCUCACACCAUCGGAUGUGCCCAGAUGGGAUUAGCUAGUAGGUGAGGUAAUGGCUCACCUAGGCGACGAUCCCUAGCUGGUCUGAGAGGAUGACCAGCCACACUGGAACUGAGACACGGUCCAGACUCCUACGGGAGGCAGCAGUGGGGAAUAUUGCACAAUGGGCGCAAGCCUGAUGCAGCCAUGCCGCGUGUGUGAAGAACGCCUUCGGGUUGUAAAGCACUUUCAUCGAAGAAGAAGGGUUCGGUGUUAAUAGCACCGUUCAUUGACAUUUCUCCCCAAAAGAGCACCGGCUAACUCCGUGCCUCUGCCGUGGUAAAACGAAGGGGCAUUCCUUUAUCGGAAUUACUGGGCCUAAAGCCCACCCCUUGCAGGCGGUUUGUUAAGUCAGAUGUGAAAUCCCCGAGCUUAACUUGGGAACUGCAUUUGAAACUGGCAAGCUAGAGUCUUGUAGAGGGGGGUAGAAUUCCAGGU
rnacentral:rRNA from 1 species